GGCACAUGUAUUUGUUAUGGCCACAACUGAAGUCCUGAUGUCACUGAUGUCACACACUUUUUUUGACAUUGCAAUGAUUUGAUAUGCCAGUAAUAAGGGAUCAGUAUCUGGCACCACAUAUCCUGCCUGCUGCACUUCUGGACUAGUGUAAGGAAGUUCUUUCAUCCAAGUGAUUUACCCAAAUAAUCCACUUAAGCUAAUAAGCCAAAAAUCACUCCAAGGAGCUAGAAGAUGUAGCAGAUGAACUACUGGCUCUCUGCCCUGUGGUGUACUGGCACUUCUGCACUUCUUUCAGAUCUGUUCCCUAUGAACUCAACUGUACAAGCAUGCUGAGUGAAAGGACAGGCUAUUUUAUACCAUUGAAACACAUAAACUGAAUCUGUCACAGUGGACUUCAUUUUUCUUCUUGUUUAGGAGCAUGAAGAUCUCUUACAGGAUUUCAGGGCAAAAAUACAGACAGAUUUUUGCACUUAAUACAUAUACUGUAGUAUUUCUACUAUUUAGGUGAAAAGUUUGGAGGUACACAAGGCAAAGAAUGCACAAAAUAGCAUACAGAAACUAAAAUCUCUAAUAAAAUUAUGGAACACAAACUAUUAACAGCCUAAUUUUACUUUAGCAACUCAGCAUACAAACUUUUUUUUGAGGCAUUCAAAAUUUUUUGAUUGGAGGUUCUAAGCCCAAGAUCCUUAAGAACCCUGUUUAAUGACAGUGCUGGUGAGCACCACUUAAAGCAAAAUCCAGUUUCUCCUAUUGCAAUCAAUGUCCAGAGUGACACCUGCUCUCCAGCCUGCCCCAGAUGCAUGUCACCCACCUGGCUGAUGGUACUCAUGGCUCUCAUGUAGCUUUCGUUGCGGGAGCGGAACUUGGGGGACGUCAGCAGCCCUGCAGGGUCCAGGCUGUCCAGGCUCCUGUUGAUGGAGACUUCGCUCACUGCCCUCAGAAUGGAAAAAUUUUACACUGUACUGAAAAUGACAGCAUCCAGCUCCAGCAACCCCCCCCAACUAUGUGGGACUUUUGAAGUGACAACACAGAAACGACCUCAUGAGUUGAUUUUAAAAGAGCAAGAGCAGCCAUUGAGAUAAGCAGCAGAACUGCUCUGUGCCCUGUGGCCUUACAGAGAUGAAUGCAGCAAUCAUCAAAACCAGCUGGCGUGUCAGGUAAAGAAAAAAGAGGCCUGAUAGUUCGAUCAGCUGGAUGAUCCUAAAUUUAUCAACUGAACAUCCACAUCUCAAAAUGCUGCUGGUGAUGUGACUCUGACAUGUUCUCGUGUAUGUAUUCAUGAAAUGGGACAGUUUCUCAUGGGGUUUUCCAUAUCCUUUCAUUGGGGGGUGUACAGGCCAAUAGGGCAGGCAGAUCAUACAAACCAUGCAAAGUGCACAGUAUGCCUUAACCUGGGAAAUCAUCCCACCACCAUAGGCAUUUGAUAUGCUUUAAAUUUUAUUUUAGACCUGGCUUAAGCCACGACUUAACAAAAUGUAUGCUAGUGAAGUAGCUUUACUCAAUGAUGUUAGAUUAGAAGUUUAAAAGUCACAGUUGUACUUCUGAAGCAAUAACUUUCCCUAGUUUUUCAAUACAAGUGACAGGUGAGACAUACAAGUAAUCAAAACCAAACAACAACCCCCCUCCCCCAGCAAUUUCCCAGGGAAUUUGUACUUCUGUAUUCCUGCCAUAUACGCUAAGAGUCAGCCAGAAACAAUCCUCCACCUGUGAGAUGUUUUAUCCUCUGAAUGUGCUGGCUAAAUGCUGUCUUCACAAUCUGAGGCAUCUUAUAAAUGUGUGAGUCACAAAAAGCACGUGAAAUACACUUGUAUGAAAUACAAUUAAUUUGGGGGAUAUGUCUUUUGAAAGAACUCAU
ensembl:lncRNA